GGUCGAUGAUGAUAAACUUUUAAGGCUUGUUUCUCAAGACAUUCGCAGUGGCCGCCUGAGAACUUUCGCCUUCGCCAGGCUUGAGAGUUUGUGCUGCUAUAAUCCUUCCUUGGAUGUCUGAGGCC